UUAAUUACAAAAAAUUGAAUUAAAAAAUGACAAAAAGAAAAAAUUAUUAAAACAAGUUUUUAUUUCAAAUAAAAAAAAAGAAGAUAAAUAAAAUAAGUUACAUCAAUGCAAUAUCUUUCCAUUUUGCAUUAAUCCAAACAUUUCCUUUAUCAAUAGCUUUUUUCUUGUUUGUAUAUCUACUAUAUCUAUGCUUACAAGAACCACUUCAUCAACCAUUUCAU
rnacentral:lncRNA from 1 species